UCUAAAAUGGCAGAAUUAGAUGCAUAAAAUUUAGAAUUUUAAUAUGAAAAUAAAAUCUUUUAGAA
rnacentral:tRNA from 1 species